UCUUCAUAUUUCAUUUGUAAUAAAGAAGCAUCAUCAGUGUGUCUCUUGUUGCAGGGAUCAAGCAUGGCAACGCCUGCAGGAAGACAGGGAACAGCUUCGAGUCCAAGAAGAACGUUUUUUGGCCCGUCUCCCACCUGAUUGCAUUCUCAGUGAUGACGGCAAAUCGUCAUGUCUAUCUGAUCCAUCCCUCCACAGUGAUCAGUCAAAAGAAAAAAUGAUUGAAUUAAAAAAAUUAGAAAUAUGUGACCCAGAAAUGUAUCAAACAUGGCAACGUCUGCAGAAACAGAGGGAACAUCUUCGAGUCCAAGAAGAACGUUUUUUGGCCGACCUCUCACCUGAUUGGAUGGAGGAAGAGGAAGAGGAGGAAGAGGAGACUAAAUCAGUGAUCUAAAAGUCUGAACUUUGUGUCUGGACUUUGGGCUGACUGGUUGUUUGAAAACCAUG